rnacentral:rRNA from 1 species
ACGCUCGACACCUACUGGAGGCAGCAGUGGGAAAUAUUGCACAAUGGGGGAAACCCUGAUGCAGCGACGCCGCGUGAAGGAAGAAGUAUCUCGGUAUGUAAACUUCUAUCAGCAGGGAAGAAAGUGACGGUACCUGACUAAGAAGCCCCGGCUAACUACGUGCAGCAGCCGCGGUAAUCUGAGCGGGCUGGCAAGGC